rnacentral:rRNA from 2 species
GUCUCGUUGGUGAACCAGCGGAGGGAUCAUUA